AGAACAUCAGCUCAUCAGAAGCAGUGACAUCCAAGAGCCCAGAGGAGCCUGAAGAACAAUUGAGAGAAGCCUCCUUUGCCAACGCGUUGCCCACCAGGGCUGCACGUGGUACCCUUGCUCCAAGAUGCUUCCCAAAAACACCAGGUAAGCUUUAAGAGGCAGAUCUGAGACAAGUCAUGCUGGAUAGCGGCAUGUUCCUAGCAACUGUCUUCUUUGAUGCUGGUGUUUAAUGAAAACCAGGAGAAAGGCAUGUUUUAGCUAAUUUGUAGACAGGCUGGCAUGGAGGAAAUGACAUAGAUAGGUUACUUGGUCAGCGAAUAGAUUUCCUUUCAUCUUCAGUUCAGAGACAGAGUGGAGUGGGCAGAGCCCAGAUGUGUUGUUAGGGGGCCUGGGUUCAAAUCCUGGAGUUUCCUCAUCUCUGAAUCAGGGGUGAUACCCCCUGCCUUACCUAAACCACAGCUUUGUGAAGAUCAUAUGAGAACAAGAAUGUGAAAGGAUUCGAGAUCUGUAAAGUCUUGCCCCGAUGGCAGGAAUUAAGAAUUCUUAUUCUAACCUUCAAAUGUUUUAGAUCCAAGAACUGAAAGCCUACUCCAAAAUAUAACAAAAAAUCCAACCAUCACUUCUGGCGUCACAAUAUCUGUUUUGAACUGUGGGGGAUCAAAGAGGGAAAUGAGCCAAGAAAACACCAACAGGGGUGGGACUGUAAACUAGUUCAACCAUUGUGGAAGUCAGUGUGGCGAUUCCUCAGGGAUCUAGAACUAGAAAUACCAUUUGACCCAGCCAUCCCAUUACUGGGUAUAGACCCAAAGGAUUAUAAAUCAUGCUGCUAUAAAGACACAUGUACACGUAUGUUUACAGCGGCACUAUUCACAAUAGCAAAGACUUGGAACCAACCUAAAUGUCCAACAAUGAUAGACUGGAUUAAGAAAAUGUGGCACAUAUACACCACGGAAUACUGUGCAGCCAUAAAAAAUGAUGAGUUCAUGUCCUUUGUAGGGACAUGGAUGAAACUGGAAACCAUCAUUCUCAGCAAACUAUCACAAGGACAAAAAACCAAACACCGCAUGUUCUCACUCAUAGGUGGGAACUGAACAAUGAGAACACAUGGACACAGGAAGGGGAAUAUCACACUCUGGGGACUGUUGUGGGG
rnacentral:lncRNA from 1 species